AUACGGAGGAUGCGAGCGUUAUCCGGAUUUAUUGGGUUUAAAGGGAGCGUAGGUGGGAUAUUAAGUCAGCUGUGAAAGUUUGGGGCUCAACCUUAAAAUUGCAGUUGAUACUGGUUUCCUUGAGUACGGUACAGGUGGGCGGAAUUCGUGGUGUAGCGGUGAAAUGCUUAGAUAUCACGAAGAACUCCGAUCGCGAAGGCAGCUCACCGGGCCGGAACGGACACUGAUGCUCGAAAGUGCGGGUAUCAAACAGGAUUAGAUACCCUGGUAGUCCGCACAGUAAACGAUGAAUACUCGCUGUUUGCUAUACACGGUAAGCGGCCAAGCGAAAGCGUUAAGUAUUCCGCCUGGGGAGUACGCCGGCAACGGUGAAACUUAAAGGAAUUGACGGGG
rnacentral:rRNA from 1 species